rnacentral:misc_RNA from 1 species
GAUGAAGAACGUAGCGAAAUGCGAUAAGUAAUGUGAAUUGCAGAAUUCAGUGAAUCAUCGAAUCUUUGAACGCACAUUGCGCCCCUUGGUAUUCCGAGGGGCAUGCCUGUUCGAGCGUCAUUAUCACCCCUCAAGCUUUGCUUGGUGUUGGGGCCUGCUGUAAUAGGCAGCCCUUAAAAUCAGUGGCGGUGCUUCAAGGCUCUAAGCGUAGUAAUUCUCCUCGCUAUAGUGUCUAGUGGUUGCCAGCCAGAACCCCCCAAUUCUCAUGAUUGACCUCGGAUCAGGUAGGGAUACCCGCUGAACUUAAGCAUAUCAAUAAGCGGAGGA